rnacentral:tRNA from 1 species
CAAGUUAUUCAAAGGGUAAAAAUUAUUUUUACAAAAUAAUUUAAUGUUGUGCAAUUCGACUUAACUUGA